rnacentral:rRNA from 1 species
AUUGAACGCUGGCGGCAGGCCUAACACAUGCAAGUCGAGCGGAUGAAGGGAGCUUGCUCCUGGAUUCAGCGGCGGACGGGUGAGUAAUGCCUAGGAAUCUGCCUGGUAGUGGGGGAUAACGUCCGGAAACGGGCGCUAAUACCGCAUACGUCCUGAGGGAGAAAGUGGGGGUUCUUCGGACCUCACGCUAUAAGAUGAGCCUAGGUCGGAUUAGCUAGUUGGUGGGGUAAAGGCCUACCAAGGCGACGAUCCGUAACUGGUCUGAGAGGAUGAUCAGUCACACUGGAACUGAGACACGGUCCAGACUCCUACGGGAGGCAGCAGUGGGGAAUAUUGGACAAUGGGCGAAAGCCUGAUCCAGCCAUGCCGCGUGUGUGAAGAAGGUCUUCGGAUUGUAAAGCACUUUAAGUUGGGAGGAAGGGCAGUAAGUUAAUACCUUGCUGUUUUGACGUUACCAACAGAAUAAGCACCGGCUAACUUCGUG